UACGUAGGAGGCGAGCGUUGUCCGGAAUUACUGGGUGUAAAGCGCGUGUAGGCGGUGAGUUAAGUCUGUUGUGAAAGCGCCCGGCUCAACCGGGCAGAGUCAAUGGAAACUAGCGCACUGGAGGUCGGUAGAGGCGAGUGGAAUUCCCGGUGUAGUGGUGAAAUGCGUAGAUAUCGUGAGGAACACCAGAGGCGAAGGCGGCUACCUGGACAAUUGCUGACACUCAGGCACGAAAGCGUGGGGGAGCAAAAGGG
rnacentral:rRNA from 1 species